rnacentral:siRNA from 1 species
AGACAGUGAGAGUGUAACGUUACU